UCUUCUUCUUCUUCUUCUUCGUUUGGCCAUCUAGUCUUCAAUUCUCUCUCUCUCCAGUGGGUCUAGCAGUGCAUGCAAACCAGGGGGCUUCGAUGGUGACAUAGCGGUGUUGGUUUGAGAAUUUUUGUUGUGUGGCUUCAUUUGGGUGUGGGAUUUCUGGAUGAUAAAUUAUCAAAAAGUGUAGGAGUCUCAAAGAGCAAGAUUUCAUCUCCAAUUUCUGUAGUAGCUUUCACAGUUCUUGGUAAUAAUGUCUAAAAGUACCAAGGUUUUUUAACUUCUUUGGGCAAUUCAAUUGGCAAUGAAGUAUGGGAAUCCAGGCUUGUCAUCAACAAUUGCAGCCUCUAUGGUAAGCGAAACUUCUUGAGGAUACUACUUUGAUAGAUUUAUUUCAAUGUACAUUAACAAGGAAAGUUGGCCAAUAACUUAUUUAUUUUAAAGUCAUUAGAAAUUUUAAUUAUUUAUAAAUUUAUUUUUGCAUUUUGGCUAGUUGAUCCCCAAAUUAAUUCCUUAAUCUCUCUCCCUUGUCCCUCUCUAUCUCCCUCUCCCUCUCAUGUCUCUCCCCCUCCACUGUUUCUCUUCCUUUCCCUCUCCUGUCAAAGAUAAUCUAACAUUUCUCUGCAAAAAUGAGAGCCAACAAUCCAAUUUCAGCCAAAAUAAGCAACUGAA
rnacentral:misc_RNA from 1 species